UACGUAUGGUGCAAGCGUUAUCCGGAUUUACUGGGUGUAAAGGGAGCGCAGGCGGUACGGCAAGUCUGAUGUGAAAUCCCGGGGCUCAACCCCGGUGCUGCAUUGGAAACUGUCGGACUAGAGUGUCGGAGGGGUAAGUGGAAUUCCUAGUGUAGCGGUGAAAUGCGUAGAUAUUAGGAGGAACACCAGUGGCGAAGGCGGCUUACUGGACGAUUACUGACGCUGAGGCUCGAAAGCGUGGGGAGCAAACAGG
rnacentral:rRNA from 1 species